ACCAAAUCUGAAACGUAGAUUUUUGAAAGUAGUAAUGUAUUAAAUGAAAAAUAUACCGAGUUGGCGGAUCAAUGAAAAAUUAUGUAAACAAUGGAUAUAAAAUUCUGGAAAUACCUACGACAAAGAAAACACGCUGUUCCCCAGCGUGCGAUAGCGUUUGAAUCGUUACAAGAGGAAGGUAUCAAUGCAUCGGAAUCGCGUUUCUCAUCCUUCGACGUUUCGAGAGCAUCAUAGUUACCGGUAAGCGUGACACAAAGGUUAUUACGCUGGCACGAUAACAUCCGGGCAUAGCUGACGUGUUUGACUGACGAGCUCUCAGACGUCGCUGCAGGAGCACGCCAUUUGCGGACGGCCGGCUGAUACUUAUCUGCAGGACUGCUUUCGCACAGUAACACUGACAAUGAUAAUUAUACACUUCCCCUGUACUUUGACGUGGCUGACGUGUAGUUUAUAGAAGCUUCGAUUCUGUGUAUCUUCAAGGGAAGUUUUUUCGAAUCGAAGCAUUUCGUUCUAUUCGUAUAGAAGUUUAUGUUCGUUAAGUGUGUCGACUUUCGGUAUUACGCUGCGAAUAUUAAUAAGAUGGACAGUGUAAGUAACGCUGAUAUAACUGAAAUGAAGGUUAUGUGCCCGGUGUAUACAGUUAAGAUUUUGAGAUUGUGUUGUUUUUGAUAAUUACUAAAAGUAUACAAGUGCUCUGUUGACAAACUUGAUGAUCACCGAUGUUGACAUGAAGCAUCGACUAAAGUCAUUACACAGACUGGAAGCGAAAAGUAGGAAACUGUCGAGGAAAAGGCAACCGGACACCUUUCCCGUUAAUAGAGAACGGCGGAACUCUUUCUAUCAACUUUCUAGUCCCGUCACGGCAAUUAGCAAAGUACCUGCACUUGCGGAUAAAUCCUCUCGUGGCAGAAGCGCGACUUAUUUAUGACCAUCCUCGUCCCGAGACCCGACUAAAGGGUUAAAAGCGGAACAAUGCCACGGUCGACAUUGUUUUGAUGUGGUCAGAACUGAGGAAGAUCGGUGAAAAGAUGCAUAAACCUCCACGUCGUGUGCCAGUUUUCCAAAACGGAAGCUUCGACGUGAAACCCGUAGGCCUUUCCAUCUGCUGACAUUUUCUCUUUGUACGAAAAUUGCCAAUAGAAAAGUUUGUCUGUUCGACAGCUAGAAUUCUUGGAACUUGGGUACAAUUUUUUAAUUUGAUGCGAAGAUCGAUAUUUGUCGAGUUUCAUAGGAAGAAUCAAUAAUAUUAGCUUUUCAUUUCUCUUCUCUUUCCAAAAUCUUCUUCUUUUGAUAUGAAAUAUGUUAAUUCAAGAUGCAGUUUGAAUUACACAAAAUUUCAGUUUCAUAUUGUAGUUAUUGAUAUAUAUGUGUAUAAAUAUGUAUUCAGGAUUUUUCUGUGUGAUAAUUUCAUAAUUGACA